rnacentral:lncRNA from 1 species
GUUUAAACUCUGACAUGAUUUUCAUCUUAUUUGUAACACAAAAGGUGAUGCUGGAAUUCCACUCUAGAUCUACCUCCUCAGUUAAAAGGGCAGAACAGGCUGGGCACCGUGGCUCAAGCCUGUAAUCACAGAACUCUGGGAGGCCGAGGGUCUCACUUUGUUACUCAGGCUGAAGUGUGGUGACAUGAUCUCAGCUCACUGAAACCUCUGCCUCUGGUGCUCAAGUGAUUCUUCCAGCUCAGCCUCCUAAGUAAGUGGGACUACAGGCAAGCGCCACCCAACCAGCUGCUGAUCGAGUGAAUUUCUUUUCCUGUUACGUACUUAUGGAAAUAAUGAAGAUGUCUUGAAGCAUGAGUACUUUUUGCUCAUAUGAGACAACUAGGAUAAGAUUCACUCCAGAACUCCUGAUGAUUUUCCUCUCCUUCAAAUCAGCAAGCAGUGCAGGCUUCUCAAGGGGAAGUAUGGGAAACAGAGAUAGCAGGCCGUUGGCUGUCAAGUUGCUGGGUCAGCAUCCAAACUCAGGUCUGCCUGCCUACUGA